rnacentral:rRNA from 1 species
UUGGAGGGCAAGUCUGGUGCCAGCAGCCGCGGUAAUUCCAGCUCCAAUAGCGUAUAUUAAAGUUGUUGCAGUUAAAAAGCUCGUAGUUGAAUUUCGGGAUCAGACUGUCGGUCGUGCCUCGGUACGCACUGGCAUUAUUGGUUCCUACCUUCUGAAGAACCGCGAUGUCAUUAAUUUGGUGUCGCGGGGAAUCAGGACUGUUACUUUGAAAAAAUUAGAGUGUUUAAAGCAGGCUUACGCUUGAAUACAUUAGCAUGGAAUAAUGAAAUAGGACGUUUGAUUCUAUUUUGUUGGUUUCUAGGAUCGACGUAAUGAUUAAUAGGGAUAGUUGGGGGCAUUAGUAUUCAAUUGUCAGAGGUGAAAUUCUUGGAUUUAUUGAAGACUAACUACUGCGAAAGCAUUUGCCAAGGAUGUUUUCAUUAAUCAAGAACGAAAGUUAGGGGAUCGAAGACGAUCAGAUACCGUCGUAGUCUUAACCAUAAACUAUGCCGACUAGGGAUCGGAUGAUGUUAAUUUUUUAAUGACUCAUUCGGCGCCUUACGGAAAC